UAAGACAGCCAGACACGUGACAACUUUACCAUUUAAACCAUUUAAAUACUUUAUCUCAACUUUGAUGUUUUAUCAUUUUUUGCUCAAAGGUGGGAAAAGAUGACAGAAAAUGUAUUUCUACAGACUGAGAAAAUAUCAACCCAUCAUUCACAACUUUUCCAGCAGUUGAAAGCAGUCAUCACAGGGUCCCUAAUGUUGUUUUUAGCAGAAGACAGAAACUCAUGCAGGUUUGGAAAAAAAUGAGGGUUCCUGCAUCUGUAAUGUUUUACCUGAGGGUUUCAUCUUAUUUAUAGAGCUGUGUUGAGUCAGAUGAUUUGUAUCUCCAUCACACUUUUCACUGCUACCUCUUCAUUUCGUUCUCUUUUAUUCGUUUGACCUUGGUGAAGUUGCC